AGCAGCCGCGGUAAUUCCAGCUCCAAUAGCGUAUAUUAAAGUUGUUGCAGUUAAAAAGCUCGUAGUUGAAUUUCGGGGUCAGUAGGUUGGUCGUGCCACUGGUAUGCACUGGCCUCACUGAUUCCUCCCUCUUGUAGAACCGUAAUGCCAUUAAGUUGGUGUUGCGGGGAAACAGGACUGUUACUUUGAAAAAAUUAGAGUGUUUAAAGCAGGCUAACGCUUGAAUACAUUAGCAUGGAAUAAUGAAAUAGGACGAUCGAUCCUAUUUUGUUGGUUUCUAGGAUUGACGUAAUGAUUAAUAGGGAUAGUUGGGGGCAUUAGUAUUCAAUUGUCAGAGGUGAAAUUCUUGGAUUUAUUGAAGGCUAACUACUGCGAAAGCAUUUGCCAAGGAUGUUUUCAUUAAUCAAGAACGAAAGUUAGGGGAUCGAAGACGAUCAGAUACCGUCGUAG
rnacentral:rRNA from 1 species